rnacentral:lncRNA from 1 species
AUAUAUUUCUGCUGAGUUCCAUUGUAUCCCAAGAAACAGGAGAGUCACACCAAGGAGACGGCUUGACUUCAGCUUCCCCUUUUCCUUUCUUCCCAGCCAGGAUGCUUCUGGCUGGCCCAGAAGUAAGUUCACAUAUUGUGCCAGGCAGCCAGAGAACAGCUCCUUAGUGCUUGCACUGUGCAGAUCCUAGGCCUUGACUGCCCAAGUGAGAAAUGUGUACUUUGUUUCAAAAGCAAUGGAAAGUCACCUAAAGACUUGAAGCUUAGAAAUGAAUGAAUGGAUCAGAACUCUGCUUUUAGCCAGGGUCUAUGACAUCAGUGGACUGUGUAGGAAAAGGAAUAAGAAUGAAAUCCAAGCCCAAAAGAGCUAUUCCAGAGUGUGGAGAGCAUGCACUACUGCAGGCAAAAAUACUUUAUCCAGUAGGAGACCAAGGUGUGCUGCAUCCUACAAACAACCAAAGACCUGAUUCUGAGAUAAGCAGGAUGGUAUCCUGAGAAGUGACUUUUAUUCAUUUGACAGAUAUAACUGAGUGCCUGCUCUGU